CUUGUGAGAAUGUUGUAAAGAACAUAUGAGAUACAUCUGUAAAGUGGUAAGCAGAGUGAUUGGAUCAGUGAAUAAUAAUUGUUGAGAUUUGCUUGUUUUUUACCUUCUAUUUCUGUUAUUAUUGUAUUUUAGGUCCCUGUUUUACUUAGUAAAACUAGAUCUUUACUAAUUGGUUAUACUCUAAAAUUGUCCUUGUUUAACAACUGAUGUGUGUGUGUGUGUGCGCGCGCACACGCGCAUGUGUACAUGUGUAUGUAUAGUGGUUGGUUGGGGAGCAUGAUGGUAAAAAAGUGUCCUUUACCUGUACAACAUUUAAAAGUUAACACUGAGACUGGAACUAAGUAUGGCUUUCUCCAUUGUUUAUUCUCACAAUGAGCAGAUAUCUGCAUUGAAAUAGCCUUUUCGUCAUGUUUUCACAUUGCCAAAUACCGUAGAAAAUGAGGUAAAUUGAGGGACAUUAAUGAGAAACAUUACUACCUGUUAAUAUGUUGUAGACAUUUAAACUUUGAGUCUAACUGUUUGCAUCUUGCCUCUCUUUGGCUUUAUACAGGUGGUGAAUGCUGAAGUCUUCCAUUCUUUCUGCACCAGGUCCUGUGCUGUUGCACCAUCAACUAACGAAAGUGCAGGUGGACCAUUACUAGAAAAAGAGCAGGACUGCAAACAGAAAAGUCCAAGUCAACAAGCCAGUGACGGUUCUCAACUUGACGCCAGCAGUAACCAACUCUACAAAGAAAACGCAGCAUUCCUCUUCUCCAAAGUAAACCUAUAACAAAAACCCCUGCCAUCUAUAAUAGCAACUCAUGGUCCCACGGAGCUUCAUACAUUUUCCAGAGUUUCAAAACCUGGCUAACACUGAGUCAAGUUAGGAGCCUCAAUCGAUAUCUCUGACCAACUUAAAGCAUGUGUAGAAUGUUUGAUGUACCUGAAAGUGAGUAAAAUGUGAAAGUCAAUUGCUGGAAUUGGUUGAAUGAGAAUGUCGAGUGAAGAAGACAAGACAGCAGCAGAGGAAGAGGAAUGUAUCAUCCAAGAAGGGAAAAGAGAAAUACUAUUACUAUCUAUUGUCUUGGUGGUUCUCAUGAGGAGUUAAGGGAGAAUUUCUAACCAGGAAGAAGAUCACAGAAACACACUAUACAGGCCAAGCAUGGUGGUUCAUGCCUGUAAGCCCAGCACUUUGGGAGGCCAAGGCUGGUGGGUCAUGAGGUCAGGAGUUCGAGACCAGCCUGGCCAAUACAAAUACAAAAAAUUAGUUGGGCAUAGUGGUGCUGGCCUGUAGUCCCAGCUACUUGGGAAGCUGAGGCAGAAGAAUUGCUUGAACCUGGGAGGUGGAGGUUGCAGUGAGCCAAAAUCAUGCCACUGUACUUCAGCCUGGCCAACAGAACAAGACUCCAUCUCAAAUAAAAAAAAAAUUCUAUAUAUACA
rnacentral:lncRNA from 13 species